UGGAAAGGCGCGCGAUACAGGGUGACAGCCCCGUACACAAAAAUGCACAUGCUGUGAGCUCGAUGAGUAGGGCGGGACACGUGGUAUCCUGUCUGAAUAUGGGGGGACCAUCCUCCAAGGCUAAAUACUCCUGACUGACCGAUAGUGAACCAGUACCGUGAGGGAAAGGCGAAAAGAACCCCGGCGAGGGGAGUGAAAAAGAACCUGAAACCGUGUACGUACAAGCAGUGGGAGC
rnacentral:rRNA from 1 species